rnacentral:misc_RNA from 1 species
GAUGAAGAACGUAGCAAAAUGCGAUACUUGGUGUGAAUUGCAGAAUCCCGUGAACCAUCGAGUUUUUGAACGCAAGUUGCGUCCGAAGCCUUUUGGCCGAGGGCACGUCUGCCUGGGCGUCACGCAUCGCGUCGCCCCCCACAACUCUCCGUAAAGGGAACUUGUGUUUUGGGGGCGGAUAUUGGUCUCCCGUGCUCAUGGCGUGGUUGGCCGAAAUAGGAGUCCCUCCGGUGGACGCACGAACUAGUGGUGGUCGUAAAAACCCUCGUCUUUUGUUUCGUGCCGUUAGUCGCGAGGGAAACUCUUUAAAAACCCAAAUGUGUCGUCUCUUGACGGCGCUUCGACCGCGACCCCAGGUCAGGCGGGACUACCCGCUGAGUUUAAGCAUAUCAAUAAGCGGAGGA